rnacentral:sRNA from 1 species
AGCCACAUCGAUGUGACCAGUGCCCCCAAACAUUUAAUGUUGAAUUCAACCUGACACUUCAUAAAUGCACCCACAGCGGGGAAGAUCCUACCUGCCCUGUGUGUAACAAGAAAUUCUCCAGAGUGGCUAGUCUCAAAGCGCAUAUUAUGCUACAUGAAAAGGAAGAGAAUCUCAUCUGUUCUGAGUGUGGGGAUGAGUUUACUCUGCAGAGUCAGCUGGCCGUGCACAUGGAGGAGCACCGCCAGGAGCUGGCUGGAACCCGGCAGCAUGCCUGCAAGGCCUGCAAGAAAGAGUUCGAGACCUCCUCGGAGCUGAAGGAACACAUGAAGACUCAUUACAAAAUUAGGUGAAAGGCCGUUCAAAUGUAGUGA